AAAGAAACCAACAGGGAUUGCCCUAGUAACGGCGAGUGAAGCGGCAACAGCUCAAAUUUGAAAUCUGGCGUGAGCCCGAGUUGUAAUUUGUAGAGGAUGCUUCUGGGUAGCGGCCGGUCUAAGUUCCUUGGAACAGGACGUCAUAGAGGGUGAGAAUCCCGUAUGUGACUGGCCCGCACCCUCCACGAAGCUCCUUCGACGAGUCGAGUUGUUUGGGAAUGCAGCUCUAAAUGGGAGGUAAAUUUCUUCUAAAGCUAAAUACUGGCCAGAGACCGAUAGCGCACAAGUAGAGUGAUCGAAAGAUGAAAAGCACUUUGGAAAGAGAGUUAAAAAGCACGUGAAAUUGUUGAAAGGGAAGCGCCCGCAACCAGACUUUGCGGCGGUGUUCGGCUGGUCUUCUGACCGGUUUACUCACCGCCGUGAGGCCAUCAUCGUCUGGGACCGCUGGAUAAGACCUGAGGAAUGUAGCUCCCUUCGGGGUGUAUUAUAGCCUCUGGUGAUGCAGCGCGUCUCGGGCGAGGUCCGCGCUCCGCAAGGAUGAUGGCGUAAUGGUUGUCGGCGGCCCGUCUUGA
rnacentral:rRNA from 1 species